rnacentral:rRNA from 1 species
UGGGAAACUGGGUCUAAUACCGGAUAUGACCAUCUGACGCAUGUCAUGGUGGUGGAAAGCUUUUGUGGUUUUGGAUGGACUCGCGGCCUAUCAGCUUGUUGGUGGGGUAAUGGCCUACCAAGGCGACGACGGGUAGCCGGCCUGAGAGGGUGACCGGCCACACUGGGACUGAGACACGGCCCAGACUCCUACGGGAGGCAGCAGUGGGGAAUAUUGCACAAUGGGCGGAAGCCUGAUGCAGCGACGCCGCGUGAGGGAUGACGGCCUUCGGGUUGUAAACCUCUUUCAGUAGGGAAGAAGCGAAAGUGACGGUACCUGCAGAAGAAGCGCCGGCUAACUACGUGCCAGCAGCCGCGGUAAUACGUAGGGCGCAAGCGUUAUCCGGAAUUAUUGGGCGUAAAGAGCUCGUAGGCGGUUUGUCGCGUCUGCUGUGAAAGACCGGGGCUCAACUCCGGUUCUGCAGUGGGUACGGGCAGACUAGAGUGCAGUAGGGGAGACUGGAAUUCCUGGUGUAGCGGUGAAAUGCGCAGAUAUCAGGAGGAACACCGAUGGCGAAGGCAGGUCUCUGGGCUGUAACUGACGCUGAGGAGCGAAAGCAUGGGGAGCGAACAGGAUUAGAUACCCUGGUAGUCCAUGCCGUAAACGUUGGGCACUAGGUGUGGGGGACAUUCCACGUUUUCCGCGCCGUAGCUAACGCAUUAAGUGCCCCGCCUGGGGAGUACGGCCGCAAGGCUAAAACUCAGAGGAAUUGACGGGGGCCCG